rnacentral:rRNA from 1 species
AUUGAACGCUGGCGGCAUGCCUUACACAUGCAAGUCGAACGGCAGCACGGGUGCUUGCACCUGGUGGCGAGUGGCGAACGGGUGAGUAAUACAUCGGAACAUGUCCUGUAGUGGGGGAUAGCCCGGCGAAAGCCGGAUUAAUACCGCAUACGAUCUACGGAUGAAAGCGGGGGACCUUCGGGCCUCGCGCUAUAGGGUUGGCCGAUGGCUGAUUAGCUAGUUGGUGGGGUAAAGGCCUACCAAGGCGACGAUCAGUAGCUGGUCUGAGAGGACGACCAGCCACACUGGGACUGAGACACGGCCCAGACUCCUACGGGAGGCAGCAGUGGGGAAUUUUGGAAAUGGGCGAAAGCCUGAUCCAGCAAUGCCGCGUGUGUGAAGAAGGCCUUCGGGUUGUAAAGCACUUUUGUCCGGAAAGAAAUCCUUGGCCCUAAUACGGUCGGGGGAUGACGGUACCGGAAGAAUAAGCACCGGCUAACUACGUG